CCUACGGGAGGCAGCAGUGGGGAAUAUUGGACAAUGGGCGAAAGCCUGAUCCAGCAAUGCCGCGUGAGUGAUGAAGGCCUUCGGGUCGUAAAGCUCUUUUACCAGGGAUGAUAAUGACAGUACCUGGAGAAUAAGCUCCGGCUAACUCCGUGCCAGCAGCCGCGGUAAUACGGAGGGAGCUAGCGUUGUUCGGAAUUACUGGGCGUAAAGAGUACGUAGGCGGUUAUUCAAGUCAGAGGUGAAAGCCCGGGGCUCAACCCCGGAACUGCCUUUGAAACUAGAUAACUAGAGUCUUGGAGAGGUUAGUGGAAUUCCGAGUGUAGAGGUGAAAUUCGUAGAUAUUCGGAAGAACACCAGUGGCGAAGGCGACUAACUGGACAAGUACUGACGCUGAGGUACGAAAGCGUGGGGAGCAAACAGGAUUAGAUACCCUGGUAGUCCACGCCGUAAACGAUGAUAACUAGUUGUUCGGUCACUUGGUGACUGAGUGACGCAGCUAACGCAUUAAGUUAUCCGCCUGGGGAGUACGGUCGCAAGAUUAAAACUCAAAUGAAUUGACCGGNUGAGACGNGCGACGACGACGACGAGGGAGUAG
rnacentral:rRNA from 1 species